rnacentral:misc_RNA from 1 species
GAUGAAGAACGUAGCGAAAUGCGAUAAGUAAUGUGAAUUGCAGAAUUCCGUGAAUCAUCGAAUCUUUGAACGCACAUUGCGCCCCUUGGUAUUCCGAGGGGCAUGCCUGUUCGAGCGUCAUUAUAACCCCUCAAGCUCAGCUUGGUGUUGGGGCCUGCCGCACGGGCAGCCCUUAAAAUCAGUGGCGGUGCCAUCUGGCUCUAAGCGUAGUAAUUCUUCUCGCUAUAGAGUCCCGGUGGAUGCUUGCCAUUAACCCCCAAUUUUCUAUGGUUGACCUCGGAUCAGGUAGGGAUACCCGCUGAACUUAAGCAUAUCAAUAAGCGGAGGA